rnacentral:rRNA from 1 species
AACGAACGCUGGCGGCAUGCCUAACACAUGCAAGUCGAACGAGACCUUCGGGUCUAGUGGCGCACGGGUGCGUAACGCGUGGGAACCUGCCCUUAGGUUCGGAAUAACUCCCCGAAAGGGGUGCUAAUACCGGAUAAUGUCUUCGGACCAAAGAUUUAUCGCCUUUGGAUGGGCCCGCGUUGGAUUAGCUAGUUGGUAGGGUAAAAGCCUACCAAGGCGACGAUCCAUAGCUGGUCUGAGAGGAUGAUCAGCCACACUGGGACUGAGACACGGCCCAGACCCCUACGGGGGGGAGCAUGGGGGAAUUUUGGAAAAUGGGCGAAAGCCUGAUCCAGCAAGGCCGGGGGAGUGAUGAAGGCCUUAGGGUUGUAAAGCUCUUUUACCCGGGAUGAUAAUGACAGUCCCGGGAGAAUAAGCCCCGGCGAACCCCGG